UACGUAGGGUGCAAGCGUUAAUCGGAAUUACUGGGCGUAAAGCGUGCGCAGGCGGCUUUGCAAGACAGAUGUGAAAUCCCCGGGCUUAACCUGGGAACUGCAUUUGUGACUGCAUGGCUGGAGUGCGGCAGAGGGGGGUGGAAUUCCACGUGUAGCAGUGAAAUGCGUAGAGAUGUGGAGGAACACCGAUGGCGAAGGCGGCCCCCUGGGAUGAGACUGACGCUCAUGUACGAAAGCGUGGGGAGCAAACAGG
rnacentral:rRNA from 1 species